GAUCCUGGCUCAGGAUGGACGCUAGCUACAGGCUUAACACAUGCAAGUCGAGGGGCGAGCAUGGUCUUAGCUUGCUAAGGCCGAUGGCGACCGGCGCACGGGUGAGUAACACGUAUCCAACCUGCCGUCUACUCUUGGACAGCCUUCUGAAAGGAAGAUUAAUACAAGAUGGCAUCAUGAGUUCACAUGUUCACAUGAUUAAAGGUAUUCCGGUAGACGAUGGGG
rnacentral:rRNA from 1 species